CUAUGGACUUAUUUUGGUUCAUGGCAAAGGAG
rnacentral:ncRNA from 1 species